AAUUAAAAAUUUCAUCCAUUUUUACUGUUAAAAACUUAUGUAGUUGAUGGAAUAACUAGACAAUGACAUGUGUUGUGUCAGGUGUACCCCAUGCUGAAGUACAGAAAUCAAUUUUUAAUAGCAAAAAUAGAUAAAAAUUUUAACG
rfam:Gossypium hirsutum cultivar TM-1 chromosome 25, whole genome shotgun sequence